rnacentral:rRNA from 1 species
CCCUGUGACAUACCACUUGUUGCCUCGGCGGAUCAGCCCGCUCCCGGUAAAACGGGACGGCCCGCCAGAGGACCCCUAAACUCUGUUUCUAUAUGUAACUUCUGAGUAAAACCAUAAAUAAAUCAAAACUUUCAACAACGGAUCUCUUGGUUCUGGCAUCGAUGAAGAACGCAGCAAAAUGCGAUAAGUAAUGUGAAUUGCAGAAUUCAGUGAAUCAUCGAAUCUUUGAACGCACAUUGCGCCCGCCAGUAUUCUGGCGGGCAUGCCUGUUCGAGCGUCAUUUCAACCCUCAAGCACAGCUUGGUGUUGGGACUCGCGUUAAUUCGCGUUCCCCAAAUUGAUUGGCGGUCACGUCGAGCUUCCAUAGCGUAGUAGUAAAACCCUCGUUACUGGUAAUCGUCGCGGCCACGCCGUUAAACCCCAACUUCUGAAUGUUGACCUCGGAUCAGGUAGGAAUACCCGCUGAACUUAAGCAUAUCAAUAAGCGGAGGA